rnacentral:rRNA from 1 species
GACGAACGCUGGCGGCGUGCUUAACACAUGCAAGUCGAACGGAAAGGCCCUGCUUUUGUGGGGUGCUCGAGUGGCGAACGGGUGAGUAACACGUGAGUAACCUGCCCUUGACUUUGGGAUAACUUCAGGAAACUGGGGCUAAUACCGGAUAGGAGCUCCUGCUGCAUGGUGGGGGUUGGAAAGUUUCGGCGGUUGGGGAUGGACUCGCGGCUUAUCAGCUUGUUGGUGGGGUAGUGGCUUACCAAGGCUUUGACGGGUAGCCGGCCUGAGAGGGUGACCGGCCACAUUGGGACUGAGAUACGGCCCAGACUCCUACGGGAGGCAGCAGUGGGGAAUAUUGCACAAUGGGCGGAAGCCUGAUGCAGCAACGCCGCGUGCGGGAUGACGGCCUUCGGGUGGUAAACCGCUUUCGCCUGUGACGAAGCGUGAGUGACGGUAAUAGGUAAAGAAGCACCGGCUAACUACGU